CGGCAUGUCUAAGUAUAAGCAUUAUACCGUGAAACUGCGAAUGGCUCAUUAAAUCAGUUAUCGUUUAUUUGAUAGUACCUUACUACUUGGAUACCCGUGGUAAUUCUAGAGCUAAUACAUGCAAAAAACCCCAACUUCGGAAGGGGUGUAUUUAUUAGAUAAAAAACCAAUGCCCUUCGGGGCUCUUUGGUGAUUCAUGAUAACUUAACGGAUCGCAUGGCCUUGCGCCGGCGACGGUUCAUUCAAAUUUCUGCCCUAUCAACUUUCGAUGGUAAGGUAUUGGCUUACCAUGGUUUCAACGGGUAACGGAUUUUUAGGGAAAGAUCCCGGAGAGGGAGCCUGAGAAACGGCUACCACAUCCAAGGAAGGCAGCAGGCGCGCAAAUUACCCAAUCCCGACACGGGGAGGUAGUGACAAUAAAUACUGAUACAGGGCUCUUUUGGGUCUUGUAAUCGGAAUGAGUACAAUUUAAAUACCUUAACGAGGAACAAUUGGAGGGCAAGUCUGGUGGACAUUCAGCUCCCAUUCUGCUGACGCCAGAGAUAGCCGGGCGCUCCCCCUCCCAGCGAGGGGGGGCGUUACGCCGGCUAGUCGAUGUAUCCGCUACCGUGAUGGGGGGAUACCGGCAAGACAACCUGGAUCGGGGAAGGCUAAGGUGCAUUCGUGCGCUAUGCUAAUCCCGAGCAGAGCUUUCGUGGAGCGAUCCGCGAUCAUAGCCUGUGUAGAGCGCGCAAAGGUGUCGGUCGACUCACGCAGUCGGCUUAAGGGACGUGCCAUUCCCACCCGAAAGGGUGGCUGACAGCAGGAGCGCCCAUCACGCAAAUGCAUGUCAGGCUCCCCCCCCACCCGGGGGAGCAGAUCUGUAAGGCCAGCAGCCGCGGUAAUUCCAGCUCCAAUAGCGUAUAUUAAAGUUGUUGCAGUUAAAAAGCUCGUAGUUGAACCUUGGCCUGGCUGGCCGGUCCGCCUCACCGCGUGUACUGGUCCGGCCGGGCCUUUCCUUCUGGAGAACCGCAUGCCCUUCACUGGGUGUGUCGGGGAACCAGGACUUUUACUUUGAGAAAAUUAGAGUGUUCAAAGCAGGCCUUUGCUCGAAUACGUUAGCAUGGAAUAAUAGAAUAGGACGUGCGGUCCUAUUUUGUUGGUUUCUAGAACCGCCGUAAUGAUUAAUAGGGAUAGUCGGGGGCGUCAGUAUUCAAUUGUCAGAGGUGAAAUUCUUGGAUCUAUUGAAGACUAACUACUGCGAAAGCAUUCGCCAAGGAUGUUUUCAUUAAUCAGUGAACGAAAGUUAGGGGAUCGAAGACGAUCAGAUACCGUCGUAGUCUUAACCGUAAACUAUGCCGACUAGGGAUCGGGCGAUGUUUUUUUAUUGACUCGCUCGGCACCUUACGAGAAAUCAUAAGUUUUUGGUUCUGGGGGA
rnacentral:rRNA from 1 species